CUUUUUGUGUCGGGAUGUAUAAGUACCCGGCCACGUCUACUUGUAUUUUUGUCCAUCUGAUGAGUUAAGUCUUUUUCAACUGAUUUUUAUAGUUCGUGCUUAUGUUGUACUGUUAUACCACUGUCCCAGGUUAGGGGGAGGGUUGGGAUCCCGCUAACAUGUUUAACCCCGCCACAUUAUUUAUGUAUUGUGCCUGUCCAAGUCAGGAGCUGUAAUUCAGUGGUUGUCGUUUGGUUAUGUGUUACAUAUUUGUUUUUCGUUCAUUUUUUUUACAUAAAUAAGGCCGUUAGUUUUCUCGUUUGAAUUGUUUUACAUUGUCUUAUCUGGGCCUAUUAUAGCUGACUAUGCGGUAUGGGCUUUGCUCAUUGUUGAAGGCCGUACGGUGACCUAUAGUUGUUAAUGUCUGUGUCAUUUUGGUCUUUUGUGGAUAGUUGUCUCAUUGGCAAUCAUACCACGUCUUCUUUUUUAUAUU
rnacentral:lncRNA from 1 species